UCAGUGUUUGGGUGCCUUGCCCCUGAGCCAGGGACCGUGUCAUGCCCUGGCCUUGCUGUGAUGCCAAGAGAUAGGGGAGGGAGGGCCGGGUGAGCCUGCCUGAGGAUUGCAGUAGCCAGUGAAGGCAGACAAGCUGGAGAAGUGCUCAGCUGGGACAUUCCUUCCUCCCCGGGUGCUCCCAGCCACUCAGGUCAAGGGGAUCAGGAGGCUGGGACGCUGGGACAAAGAACCUUGUGUUGAUGGCUGCUCUUGGUAGGGGAGGGCAUUCUGUGCUGGGCCAUGUGGGACUUGGGAGCCUGUGCCUGGGAGGUCAUUUGCCCUGGAGCCCCAUCUCCCACGCUAGCUGUCCUCAACACAUCCUCUUUCUUUCUGCCUCUGCUCCUGAAUCCACAAGCCUCCCUCACUACCCUUCUCCCAUCCUUCCCUCUCGCCCUCCAGGGCCUCUCAGUUCCCACCAGCAUGUCUGUGGGAAACCGCGGGGCCAGCCUUGCACGAGGUACCUGCCCUCCCCCUCCCUUGCUGGGUCUCCCCAGUCCUACCAGGCCUGGGAUGUUUAAUUUAGAGGAUACAGUGUUUCCAUGGGGAUUAAUAUUGACAGAACUCACCAGCAGUUGCUGACUUCACACUUCCACGUGGGUCAGCUGGAGACCUUUGGGGCACGAUCUAGGGAAUAUGAGAGGGGAGUGAGCGGUCCCUGCACCCUUGGUCUUGAUGGUGCCUCCUAGCCUCCCUCCAGUUGAGGUUUCAUGGUGGGAGAUGGGAGUGUGGCUGGGGUGGAGGGUUGAGCCUGGCCCUGUGACCCUUGCAUGCUGUAGUUCUAGCUCCAGGCCAGUGGUUCUGAGCCACCAUAGUCAGAAGCAAGUAAGUUGGAUUCAGGGCCUGGCCUUCGGGAGCUGUGCCCCGGUGCUUGUAAGACUGCCGUUUUCUCAGACAGCCUGUGUCCUGAUGCCAGAAGCAGCAGUGGUUUUAGUCAGAUCCCUGGAGCAAGGACUUGGAAGACGUAGAGGACUCGGGGUGGAGGAAAGCUGGGAUUGUCCGGAGGGACAUGGCUGAGGUGGGCCAGUGUCCGAGGUGGGCUUAGCAGCCCCCCGGGGCUGGCUCUCCCUCCAAUUGUGCCUGGGGCUGUCUUCCCUAGCCACCUGGCUCCCCAUUUGUCCACCUCACCAUGGUCUUUUCUUUCUCAUACCCUCCCGGGGUGGCUGCACAGGCAUGACUCGGUGGCUGCUUUCUCUUGCUUGGAUUUGAUAAGGGCUAAGCAUGUGAAACCCAGGGAAGCCUUUUUGGGAUCUGGGUCUCCUUCAAGGGUCAGUCCUGUGCGUCAGCUUUGCAGCCACCUUGGUUAGCCCUAAGGCCGAGCCCACCGCCUGCAGGACGCAGCCAUCCUCACUCCCCUCAUCUCUCUCUCUCCUCCCCUCUGCCUUUCUCUCUCCUCCUCCAGACCAGCUCCUCCACUGUGGCUCUGAGUGCCCCGGGGCUGCUGCCCGGCUCUGCUCCAUCCUCAUACUGCUCCCUUCCUCCUUCUCCUCCUCCCAUACCAUCUGUAUUCCUGCCACCCACCACUAAACCCUCCCCUCGAGGCCAGGGCCACACUCCGGAGUUCCCUUGUACUGAGCAGAGUGGACGAGACCUUCUACCUCCUGUGGCCCCUAGCUGGCUUGAUUUGGCUGGUCUUGGGGUGAUGCCUGAUAUCCUCAACUCAAGGUCUCCCUCUGUGGAGGCUUCUUUGUGGGCAGUGGGCACAGAGAGCCAGGGUGGAGAUUGGAGGCACCUGCCGACCCUCACACGUGAGCUCUCUGGGGCUCCCCACGGCCACACUGUACCCUAUGCUGGGAGCAUAGGUCCCCAAGAGCCUGGGGAGCCCCAGGGGCCACCAGCCAGCCCUUCGUGCCCAGAGGAGGCCUUGGCUGCCACAAGGGAGCAGCCAUGGGCUUCAGAGGUAUUCAGGCCUGAGAGAAUGCCCCCUUCUGGAGCUGCUCGAAGCUUCCAAGAAGUAAUAGAGCCAGCUAUAGUGGCAGUGGACCGGCAGGCUGUCUUCCCAGAUACCUGGACUCUCACGGAGGAACGUGGCCUACAGCAGGAGAGGCCAAGGCCAGAGCCAGGGAGGCUGGGAAGCAGCUCCCCUGCCUCAGUUACCAUGGAGCAGCUAGGUGCAAAGAUGACUGAGAGGGGAAGUGUGGCCAGGCCAACCCAGGGACCUGAAACCCCAGGGAGCCCAGAGGGCACCACCGAAGCUGCCACCCAGGCCGGGAAGGAACAGCCAGAGCUUCCAUGUGCCAUGGCCACAAGCACACCCAGCACCACGGAGAGGAUUUCCACCUCUGGCCAGAUCCGAUCUGUGAUCAGGAGGAGCCGGGAGACGGGCCACGCACACCCCAUGUCCCGGGAGCCCUCCCCUCGCCGCCGGCUGGACCCUGCCACCCUGAGCAGGACCCCAUCCCAGGAGCAGCUCAUCGCGGAGCUGCAGGGGCGGCUAGGCAUCCAGCCUGAGGCAGAGGAGCCGGCGGAGGCAGCGGGGCCCUCUGCCCAGGACUGGCUGACCGAGGGCAUCGUCAUCACCGUGCAGCCACGUGGGAAGCGGGCCGGGGGGCAGCUUGUAGAGAAGGUGGCGAGAAGAUGCCCAGGGCUGGGGCUGGGCCAGAGCCAAGUACCUGGGGUCCAGGUUCUUCUGGCCCCAGUACUGGCCGGAGGGGAGAUCUGGGGAGGGUGGGAGUUUCUUGCCUCCUGUGACCUUGGAAGACUGGCCCCACUCUUGGUGCAGAGUGGGAAGGCCCAGGGGAAGCCUGGGGAGGUGCCCCCACCCCUGUGGGCUGAGCUGGCGAUUUCUUCCUCAUCGCUGUCCCUCCUUUCUUUUCCCCAGGUUGUCUUCCCUCCUGGCUCUCCCAUUCCCCUGAGAAGAACCAUCUCUGUCCUGGCUUCUCCUUCUGUCCCUUUGCUCCAGCAUCGCACAGACGCCGCGGCCAGCAGUUCUUCUCCCCUGCCCAGCCUGCCCACCUCCUCCCCUCUGGGGCCCUCAGCUUACACCUGUGGUUCUUCUGGGGUCCAGAGUGCAGGGGAAGAGCCCCAUGAUGAGGGGGUGCAGGGCCCCACCCUUUCCACUCCUGCACCCUACACCAUGAGGUCCGUGGGCUGCCAGACCGAUGAGGACCCGCUCUUCCCCCCGAUGCAGGCAGGCCUUAAAGGAGCCCCUCCCUUUCUGUCCCCUGUCCUAAUGCCUGAGCCAUCCCCCACUCUGCAGACACACACAUACACACUCAGAUACCCUCCAUCCCUCCAUCCACUAGCCCCAGCACAGUAACCACAGUCCUGCCUUAAACCUUGACCCUGGUAUUCCCCUACUUGGAAGGUCUGCCGCCCUCUUGCUUUCCUGUGGGUUCGCCUGUGUCCACUCCUUCCUCGACUGGUCCUUGGUACUGCCCUGGGCUCACAUCGAGGAAGGAAGCCACUCCAGAAGGAGACCAGAAACCUGUCUCCUCCCUUCCAACCCCCAGGCCCAGUGCCCGGUGAGGCCUCCUCACUGAGUCUGGCCACCUCCCCUUGCCAUGUCCUCUGCCUUUGGUUGACUCCCCUCCCUGUCCUCCUUCUUUUCUCCCUGGGCCUCUCUCUCAGGGCUCUUUUUCUCCAGAUUUUUUUCCCCAAUUUUGGUCCUGCCGGUGGGGGAGAAACCCUCAGAUCUCAUCCUAGAUUCCCUUUUAGUCCAGUGACAAGGUCCCGUAUUCGUUCUUCUUUAAUUUUUAAAAAAGAUUUCUUACCCUCAUCUCUUC